AACUUACAGACCUUUUAAGUCGCUUUGGAUAAAAGCGUCUGCUAAAUGACUAAAU
rfam:Danio rerio chromosome 3, GRCz11 reference primary assembly.